UACGAAGGGGGGCUAGCGUUGCUCGGAAUCACUGGGCGUAAAGCGCACGUAGGCGGAUUGCUAAGUCAGGGGUGAAAUCCUGGAGCUCAACUCCAGAACUGCCCUUGAUACUGGCGGUCUCGAGUCCGGGAGAGGUGAGUGGAACUGCGAGUGUAGAGGUGAAAUUCGUAGAUAUUCGCAAGAACACCAGUGGCGAAGGCGGCUCACUGGCCCGGUACUGACGCUGAGGUGCGAAAGCGUGGGGAGCAAACAGGG
rnacentral:rRNA from 1 species